CACCCUUCCUUCUCUACCUUUUUCUUCAAAAACUUAAGCUACUUAGACUGAUGCUGGCAAUCUCGAAGGGAGAUAUCUGGACCUGGAGCAACUCGUCUGGAUCUUUAUUAUAUUAGGAUGCGAGGAAAGGGAAAGAAGGUGAGAAGCAAGAAGAGGAAAGAAGAAUGUUAAAGAAGUCCCUAUAAGUACUUCACUUAGCCUUUCUAUAGUCUUUCUUCCCCUCUUCCCUCAAAGCGCGCUCUUUCAUCCAUGCGCAUGGUUCUUACUUUCAUUUCCCCCCUCCUCACGUA
rnacentral:lncRNA from 1 species